rnacentral:rRNA from 1 species
AGUGAACGCUGGCGGUAGGCCUAACACAUGCAAGUCGAACGGCAGCACAGUAAGAGCUUGCUCUUACGGGUGGCGAGUGGCGGACGGGUGAGGAAUACAUCGGAAUCUACUUUUUCGUGGGGGAUAACGUAGGGAAACUUACGCCAAUACCGCAUACAACCUACGGGUGAAAGCAGGGGAUCUUCGGACCUUGCGCGAUUGAAUGAGCCGAUGUCGGAUUAGCUAGUUGGCGGGGUAAAGGCCCACCAAGGCGACGAUCCGUAGCUGGUCUGAGAGGAUGAUCAGCCGCACUGGAACUGAGACACGGUCCAGACUCCUACGGUAGGCAGCAGUGUGGAAUAUUGGACAAUGGUCGCAAGCCUGAUCCAGCCAUACCGAGUGGGUGAAGAAGGCCUUCGGGUUGUAAAGCCCUUUUGUUGGGAAAGAAAAGCAGCAGGUUAAGACCCCGCUGUUCUGACGGUACCCAAAGAAUAAGCACCGGCUAACUUCGUG